GCCUACGGCCAUACCACCCUGAACACGCCCGAUCUCGUCUGAUCUCAGAAGCUAAGCAGGGUCGGGCCUGGUUGGUACUUGGAUGGGAGACCGCCUGGGAAUACCAGGUGUUGUAGGCU
rnacentral:rRNA from 1 species